CAAUAGCGUAUAUUAAAGUUGUUGCGGUAAAAAAGCUCGUAGUUGGAUUUCUACCGAAGAUAGCCGGUCGGGUCUUCGACCUUGUAUCUGGUUUUGUCUUUGGUAUCCUCAUAGGGAACGUUUCUGCGCUUUAUUGCGUGGUGCGGUAUCUAUGACUUUUACUUUGAGGAAAUUAGAGUGUUCACGGCAGGCAAACGCCUUGAAUAUAUUUGCAUGGAAUAAUAACAUAGGAUCUUCGUCCUAUUUUGUUGGUUUCUAGGGCUAAGAUAAUGAUUAAUAGGGAUAAUUGGGGGCAUCUGUAUCAACGCGUCAGAGGUGGAAUUCUUGGAUUGCGUUGCGACAAACUACUGCGAAAGCAUUUGCCAAGGAUGUUUUCAUUGA
rnacentral:rRNA from 1 species